GGGUAAACUCGAUCUCGAUAUUUCUGAUGAAGAAGACUUAAAUAUAAACGAAUCAUACGCUAGUAAUUACAAUCAAUGGAGAGAAAAGGAAGAACUUCAGAAAUUAAAAGAUCGUUACGGCAAUCCUUCAGAAAAUGAAACAUCCUCUGAAACAGAAGAUGACUGUGCCACACAAUUGACUCCACAAGUUGACGAGGAAUGGAUGAGACUUUAUGCAACUGCCAAGUUUUCCACAGCAGAACUCUACAACAAAGACCUUAAGUUUUUCGAAAAACAAAAAAGUGAAGGAAAUGAACAUAAACCCACCAAAAAACGUGAAAAGCCCCUGCUUUUCAAAGAUUACGAAAGAAGGCGUAUUUUGAAGGGAGAAGAACCUCAAGAUGCUUACAUGACGGAAAUAGUGCCUGGAUCCUAUG